CGCCUCUUGACAAACUUAUAAGAGGUCCAGCCUGCCCAGUGACUUUGUUCAACGGCCGCGGUAUCCUAACCGUGCGAAGGUAGCGUAAUCACUUGUUCUUUAAAUGAGGACUAGUAUGAAUGGCAUCACGAAGGUUAUACUGUCUCCUUUUUCUAAUCAGUGAAACUAAUCUUCCCGUGAAGAAACGGGAAUAGUAAUAUAAGACGAGAAGACCCUAUGGAGCUUUAAACAAAUAUACAAUUGCCCACUUAAUUAAAAAUUUCAGAAGAUAAAUACUUACCCAGGCACUUUGAUAUAAAGUUUUAGGUUGGGGUGACCGCGGAGCAAAAGACAACCUCCACAGUGAAAGGGGGGAUCCCCCUAAACUAAGGGCUACUACCCUAAGUAUCAAUAAACUGACACCAGUUGACCCAAUACACUUGAUCAACGAACCAAGUUACCCUAGGGAUAACAGCGCAAUCCACUUCAAGAGCUCCUAUCGACAAGUGGGUUUACGACCUCGAUGUUGGAUCAGGGUAUCCUAGUGGUGCAGCCGCUACUAACGGUUCGUUUGUUCAACGAUUAAAACCCU
rnacentral:rRNA from 1 species